GCGCAAGUGGCGGAACGGCAGACGCGCUACAUUCAGGGUGUAGUGCCCGUACGGGCGUGAGGGUUCAAAUCCCUCCUUGCGCA
rnacentral:tRNA from 1 species